GAGAAAUUGCCCUUUGGGUACAUCUCCCGUCCUGAAUACCAUACCGGGUUGCUUUGGUAGACAUUUGCCAACGCAAGUGUUUGCCAGAGUUGUAAUCAUUCUUGUAUUUAGUAUGUCUGAGAAAAUAUAUAAUAUUUAAAACUUUCAACAACGGAUCUCUUGGUUCU
rnacentral:misc_RNA from 1 species